GAGGCAAAGAAAAACAAAUUUUCCAAAUUAUGGAAGAAAGAACACAAAUAGAACAAAAAAAAGCCCAUUGUAGUGCAAAGUGUCAAAAAUCUUCUAUUCUGAGGUCGUGACCAAGAUCCUCAGGCCCCUGAUAAGGCAAAGAGGGAGCAACACACAAAAUGCUGGUAGAACACAGCAGGCCAGGCAGCAUCUAUAGGAAGAAGCACUGUCGACGUUUCAGGCCGAGACCCUUCGUCAAGACUAACUGAAAGAAAAGAUACCUCCAUACCAGAUGUUGAUGCAACCAGUCAGGAUACUCUCCUCCGUACAUUUGUGGAAACUUGCUGAAGUCUUUGGUGACAUACCAGAUCUCCUCAAACCUCCACUGAAGUAUAGCCACCGGCGUGCCUUCUUUAUGAUUGCAUCAAUGUGCUGGACCCAGGAGAUGCUGUCGCCCAGGAACUUGAAGCUGCUCACCCUUUCCACCGCUGACCCCUCAUUGAGGGAGGCUGGUUUCCACAAUCUGUGGGGCUAUAUCAACAACUCCACAGUUUCUUGUGGCCAUGAGUGGGGCAGUUGCCAAACCAAGCUGUAUGGGAUAGUUUCUAUGGCGCAUUAAUAAAAAUUGGUAAGGGUUAACAGGGACAUGUCAAAUCUCUUUAGUAUCCUAAGGAAGUAGAAGCAUCAGUGAGCUUUGCUGGCCAUGGAUUCCACAUGGUUCAUCCAGGACAGGCUGUUGAUGAUAAUCACUCCUAGGAACUUGAGGCUCUCAACCUGAUGUAGACAGGAUAUUCACCACCACCACCAUCCUGAAGUCAAUGACCAGCUCCUUGUUUUGCUAACACAGAGAGAAAGGUUGCUGUUAUGACACUAUGCUACUAAGCUCUCUGUCUCCUUCCUGUACUCCAAUUCAUUGUUAUUUGAGAUACAGCUGACAACAAUGAUAGCAUCUGAAAACUUGUGGCUGAAGUCAGAGUCAAAUCUAACUGUGCAGUCAUGUGUGCACAGGGAGUAGAGUAGGGAGCUGAGACACAAACUUGAAGAGAACCAGUGUUUAGAAUCACUGUGGUUGAGGUGUUGCUAUCUGUCCUUACUGAUCAUGGUCUGUUGGCCAGGUAUACGUCUAGGGGAAGAACUCCAGCCACUCUCCCACCUCCCGUAUACGCUGUGGAAAACAAGUUAAUGCAGUGACACACACACAAUAUCAAACUCACACCAGAUACCAUUAUAGAAUAUACUUUAAAGAUUUUACGAGAACUGAAAGGUUACUAACAAUACAGUAUAUAUGAAGGAAAAUAAAAUAAAAUAAAAGGUGCCAAAACUUAAAAGAGUUCAGUUAGUUUAGUGCAUAUUGUUGGAGCUCAACCAUCGAACCACUCGACCCCUCGUCGCUUUCCACCAACCUCCACGUCCUUGCACCUGGGACCACCCUGGUGGUCGACCGAGCAGUGCCGCACACGUCCAACUUCCUUGGCGUCCUCUUCCCGACUCCCUGAAAAGACCGCAAAAACCCCCCAGCUCCCAGACCCACAAGACAAAAUAACAUUUCCCCGUUGGUUAACAAAUGAAUACAAUCCGGAUAUCAGCAAGUCUAAAGCCAAGCAGCUGCGAGAGACAGCAAUUAUCAUACAAAGAAGCAUUCCUACUCUUAACAAAACAAAGAAGCCAUUUUGAUUAACAUACACAGUACAUUGUACAUUUUUAGUCACAGUUAUUUUGUAAAUAACACUUCUUUGCAUUUCUGAUUAGAUGCUAACUGCAUUUCAUUGGCUUUGUAUGUGUACUUGGCACAAUGACAAUAAAGUUGAAUCUAAUCUAAUCUAACAAGCCUCUUGAAGAACUUUGUGGUCGUGGAUUUCAGAAUCACUGGGCAAGAGUCUAAAUUACAUUGCCUUGUUUCCCUUAGGUAGCAGGAUGAUAGCCAUCUUCUCGAAGCAGGUGUAAACCUCAGACUGAAGUAGGCAAAGGGUAAAAAUGUUUGCAAAUACCUCCACCAACUAAUCUGUACAGGAUCUAAGGACACCAUCUCGGCAGGCCAGAUGCCUUCUGCAAGUUCACUCUCCGGAAGACAGCUCUUAUAUCUGCAAAAUUGUCUGGGUUCAGGUGCAUUGGAAGCUAUCAGUGCUGCCAGGAUAAUCAAGGACAAGACCCACCCAGCCAACACACUUUUUGUCCCACUUCCCUCCGGGAGAAGGUUCAGGAGCAUGAAGAUUCGUAUGGCCAGAUUUGAGAACAGCUUCUUUCCAACUGUGAUAAGACUGCUGAACAGAUCCUGACCCGGAUCUGGGCCGUACCUUCCUAAUAUCUGGACCUGA